GAUGAACGCUAGCGGCAGGCCUAAUACAUGCAGUCGAGGGGACCGGCGCACGGGUGCGUAACGCGUAUGCAACCUACCCUUUUCUGGGGGAUAGCCCGAAGAAAUUCGGCUUAAUACCGCAUAGAGAAGGAUGGGCAUGCGUGCCAUUAGCUAGUUGGCGGGGUAACGGCCGACCAAGGCGACGAUGGCUAGGGGAUCGGAAGGAUGCCCCCCCACACUGGUACUGAGACACGGACCAGACUCCUACGGGAGGCAGCAGUAAGGAAUAUUGGUCAAGGGAGGCAACUCUGAACCAGCCAUGCCGCGUGCAGGAAGACGGCCUCUGGGUUGUAAACUGCUUGUAUCCGGGAAUAUGUACCGGAGGAAGAAGGAUCGGCUAACUCCGUGCCAGCAGCCGCGGUAAUUC
rnacentral:rRNA from 1 species